GAAGAAGUGGGAGAAAAUGCAAGGGGCUGCAUUGGGCGGUGAAGAGAAGAUAUUGGUGUUGGUAAGGCUGAGGCCUCUUAGUGAAAAGGAAAUUUCAAGGAAUGAAGUUUCAGAUUGGGAAUGUAUCAAUGAGACCAGCAUCUUAUAUAGGAACAGUCUCCAGGAACGGUCUGGAUUGCCGACUGCUUAUACCUUUGACAGGGUGUAUAGAG
rnacentral:misc_RNA from 1 species